ACGUAGGGAGCGAGCGUUAUCCGGAAUUAUUGGGUGUAAAGCGUGUGUAGGCGGGAAAUUAAGUCUAAGGUCUAAGCCCGGAGCUCAACUCCGGUUCGCCUUAGAAACUGAUUUUCUUGAGUGUGGUAGAGGCAAACGGAAUUUCUAGUGUAGCGGUAAAAUGCGUAGAUAUUAGAAGGAACACCAGUGGCGAAGGCGGUUUGCUGGGCCACUACUGACGCUGAGACACGAAAGCGUGGGGAGCAAAUAG
rnacentral:rRNA from 2 species